AUGAUUCCAUUACAAGAAGCUGGUUUUCUGUCUAUGAUUGUAAGGCUGAUCGGGAAUUGGUUGGAAACUGAUAUAGGUAGUUGGUUAGUGAGAUUUCUAUGGGUUGGUGCAACAAAACUCAAUUACAUUGCUUCUGAACUGACCGGCGUGAGAAGUGAUAAUCUGAAACCACAUCCUACUGCAAGAUUAUGGUCUUUGGGUUGUGACAAGCAUGAAACGCCUUUUCAGUUUGGUUGCGAGUUUGCGAAUCGUGAGCUAAGAGUCAUGGCUUGA